rnacentral:rRNA from 1 species
CGUAGGGUGCGAGCGUUAAUCGGAAUUACUGGGCGUAAAGCGUGCGCAGGCGGUGAUGUAAGACAGAUGUGAAAUCCCCGGGCUUAACCUGGGAACUGCAUUUGUGACUGCAUCGCUGGAGUGCGGCAGAGGGGGAUGGAAUUCCGCGUGUAGCAGUGAAAUGCGUAGAUAUGCGGAGGAACACCGAUGGCGAAGGCAAUCCCCUGGGCCUGCACUGACGCUCAUGCACGAAAGCGUGGGGAGCAAACAGGAUUAGAUACCCUGGUAGUCCACGCCCUAAACGAUGUCAACUGGUUGUUGGUCCUUCACUGGAUCAGUAACGAAGCUAACGCGUGAAGUUGACCGCCUGGGGAGUACGGCCGCAAGGUUG